CCCUUAGAUGUUCUUGGCUGCACGCGCGCUACACUGAUGCACUCAACGAGUUUACGACCUUGCCCGAUAGGGUUGGGUAAUCUUUUUAAAAUGCAUCGUGAUGGGGAUAGAUUAUUGCAAUUAUUAAUCUUCAACGAGGAAUUCCUAGUAAGCGCGAGUCAUCAGCUCGUGCUGAUUACGUCCCUGCCCUUUGUACACACCGCCCGUCGCUCCUACCGAUUGAGUGCUCAGGUGAAUAAUUCGGACUGCAGCAAUGUUUGGAUCCCGAACGUUGCAGCGGAAAGUUUAGUGAACCUUAUCACUUAGAGGAAGGAGAAGUCGUAACA
rnacentral:rRNA from 1 species